rnacentral:lncRNA from 1 species
CCUACUAUGAAACCCUAAAUUUUUGAUUCACUAUUGAGCAUCCCUGCCCAUCCUUAUGAAAACCUUAUCGCUGACGUGUAUUUUCUUUCACCCACUAUAAACAAUUCCAUCGCCAGAAGCUUCAACCAUGAUAUCAGUGCAUUUGGGGAACAUCAUAAAGUUGAAGACAUAAGACGAAGAGGUUAAAUCUGGUGGAGAAGAUAGAAUGUUGUGUUGGGAAGAAGAAUCAGCAAAGAAAGGGUAAAAAAUGCAAUGUGGCAAGUAUCAAGAUUAGAGGUGGUGACUUUGAUUGGUUAUCGAUCUGUAGUCCGGGUUUUUGAUUUCUUAUAGAAAGAAACUAUUUCCUAUUAAUAAGUUUUAUCAUUCAAAGGAAAAAAAUAGGUGGUACGUGCACUUUGAAAAUUAGAUAUUGGAGCAUUGUUUUCUUAAUAAUUUGU